UGUCCCUAUGUCCCCAUAUCCCUGCGUCCCUGUGUCCCCAUGUCCCUGUGUCCCCAUAUCCCUGUCCCCGUGUCCCCAUGUCCCUGUGUUCCCACAUCCCCAAGCCUUGUGUCCCCAUGUCCCUAAACCCUAUAUCUGUGUCCCUAUCUCUCUGUCCUCGUUCCCAUGUCCCUGUUCCCUCAUCCUAGAAGCUCUCCCAACAUCUGUGACCCCACAUCCCUGUGUCCCCGUGUCCCCAAAGCCCUCCCAUGUCCCCAUAUCCCCACAUCCCUGUGUCCCCAUGUCCCCAAGCCCUCCAUCCUUAUCCUGUCUCCUUGUCCCCAAGGCUUCCUUCAUCUGUGUCCCUGUCCCCAUGUCCC
rnacentral:lncRNA from 1 species